GACAGUUGCUCAUACACUCCUUUCUGAGGCUGGAACAGGGUCUAUGAGAAAACAGACGAUUCUGCUGGCUUCUUGUCAUCCCUGUUCUUGAGUUUACCAGGAGCCUCAGCGGUGGGCAUGGAGGAGUGGAAGAUGAAGAUCUUUCCGCUACAUUCUGCAGCCUGGAGGUGGCAGAGUGACGAGAGAGGGAUAAGAUAAAAGAUCUCCAAAAGGAGGUCGAACUAAGAUAACAGCCCUCGAUUCCUGGAAGUUGACGAGGAAGCCGUCAAGUAGCGGGACGAACACUUCCUCCGUGUCUGAAACCACCAUCAU